UUGGAGGGCAAGUCUGGUGCCAGCAGCCGCGGUAAUUCCAGCUCCAAUAGCGUAUAUUAAAGUUGUUGCAGUUAAAAAGCUCGUAGUUGAAUUUCGGGAUUCUUCCGUUGGUCAGGCUAACAAGUCUGUACUAGCGUGUAGAAUCUCUACCUUCUGGGGAACCAUCAUGUUAUUAAUUUAGCGUGGUGGGAAACCAGGACCUUUACCUUGAAAAAAUUAGAGUGUUCAAAGCAGGCUUACGUCUGAAUACAUUAGCAUGGAAUAAUAAAAUAGGACGGUGGUCCUGUUUUGUUGGUUUCUGAAUCACCGUAAUGAUUAAUAGGGAUAGUUGGGGGCAUUAGUAUUCAAUUGUCAGAGGUGAAAUUCUUGGAUUUAUUGAAGACUAACUUCUGCGAAAGCAUUUGCCAAGGAUGUUUUCAUUAAUCAAGAACGAAAGUUAGGGGAUCGAAGACGAUCAGAUACCGUCGUAGUCUUAACCAUAAACUAUGCCGACUAGGGAUCGGAUGAUGUUAAUUUUUUAAUGACUCAUUCGGCGCCUUACGGGAAAC
rnacentral:rRNA from 1 species